AUUAAUUUUAAAUUUGAUGGCAGAUUUUUUCUUGCCCUUACUAAAAAUCAUAACUUUAGUUUUAGUAAUAUUGACUUUCAACUUCCAUCUGUUACAAUAUAUUCCCAGGCUGUCCAGACAAGCUUGUAAACCCUUUUCACUCUCUGACAGUAGAAUUAAAUCAUCUGCAUAUUGUAAACAAUUAAAUUGUGUUGUAAUGAGUGACACAGGAAAUGUUUUUGAAAAAUCAAAUAUUUUUGGCAGAUCAUUAGUGUAUAUAUUAAAUAACAGAGGGCUAAGACCAUCACCUUGUCUAACACCCCUAUUGGCUCUAUGAGCUUCUGAAAUAAAGUUUUCUUUUUUUACCACAAACUUUGAAUUAGAGUACAUAUGUUUAAUUAUCUUAUAGAAAUUUCCUCCAAUUUUAAGAUUUAAUAGUUUUUUAAGUAAUCCUGAG
rnacentral:lncRNA from 1 species